AGCGAACGCUGGCGGCAUGCUCAACACAUGCAAGUCGCACGGGCAGCAAUGUCAGUGGCGGACGGGUGAGUAACGCGUAGGAACGUGUCCUGAGGUGGGGGACAACCCCGGGAAACUGGGGCUAAUACCGCAUAUGGGCUGAGGCCCAAAGCCGAGAGGCGCCUUUGGAGCGGCCUGCGUCCGAUUAGGUAGUUGGUGGGGUAAAGGCCUACCAAGCCUGCGAUCGGUAGCUGGUCUGAGAGGACGACCAGCCACACUGGGACUGAGACACGGCCCAGACUCCUACGGGAGGCAGCAGUGGGGAAUAUUGGACAAUGGGCGAAAGCCUGAUCCAGCAAUGCCGCGUGGGUGAAGAAGGUCUUCGGAUCGUAAAGCCCUUUCGACGGGGACGAUGAUGACGGUACCCGUAGAAGAAGCCCCGGCUAACUUCGUG
rnacentral:rRNA from 1 species